rnacentral:rRNA from 1 species
AGUGAACGCUGGCGGCGUGCCUAAUACAUGCAAGUCGAACGGAGUGGCGCACGGGUGAGUAAUUUAUAGCUAAUCUGCUCUACAGUAGAGGGCAACAGCUGGAGACGACUGCUAAUACUAUAUAGUGUAGGUUGAGGCUAUAUUGUAUCAGCUAGUUGGUGAGGUAAUGGCUCACCAAGGGUAUGACGCAUAACUGGGCUGAGUGGAUGAGCAGUCACACUGGAACUGAGGCACGGUUGAGAAACCUUCGGGAGGGAGCAGUAGCGAAUAUUGCUCAAUGGGGGAAACCGUGAAGCGGCAACGCAGCGUGGAGGAUGUCACGUUGCGGAGCGUAAACGCAUGUUGUUAGGGAAGCGGUACCUAAAGAAUAAGCACCGGCUAACUCCGUGCCAGCAGCCGCGGUAAUAC